rfam:Candidatus Xiphinematobacter sp. Idaho Grape, complete genome.
AGGCGGUUAGCUCAGCGGUAGAGCGACUGGUUUACACCCAGUAGGUCGGGGGUUCGAGACCCCCACCGCCUA